rnacentral:rRNA from 1 species
CCUACGGGAGGCAGCAGUGAGGAAUAUUGGUCAAUGGCCGAAAGGCUGAACCAGCCAAGCCGCGUGAAGGACGAAGGUGCCAAGCAUUGUAAACUUCUUUUGUCAAGGGACAAAAUCAGGGUCGAGAGCCUGAACGAGGGUACUUGAAGAAAAAGCAUCGGCUAACUCCGUGCCAGCAGACGCGGUAAUACGGAGGAUGCGAGCGUUAUCCGGAUUUAUUGGGUUUAAAGGGUGCGUAGGCGGGCUGUUAAGUCAGCGGUAAAAGCCCGGGGCUCAACCCCGGCCAGCCGUUGAAGCUGGCUGUCUUGAGAUGUCGAGAGGUAUGCGGAAUGCGCAGUGUAGCGGUGAAAUGCUUAGAUAUCGCGCAGAACUCCGAUUGCGAAGGCAGCAUACCGGCGGCGAUCUGACGCUGAGGCACGAAAGCGUGGGUAUCGAACAGGAUUAGAUACCCCUGUAGUC